UUUUUCGAAUAAAACUUAUACUCAUUUUCUAUUAGUAAUAUUUUGGUUAGAUAUUUAAUUAAAGUAAUAAGAUGUGUUUAAAUUAAAUAUUAGCUAACUUUGUUUUUAUGAUUUGCUAUUUAAUAAUUAUGAAAAAAUAAAAAUUAUGCUUUGGAUUCUUUUGAAAAUGUCAGCCACCAUACACCUUUCCAAAUAUCUCUCUCCUCUAACGACUACAAGGAAAGAAAUAAAAAAAGAUCUCAAAAAGAUCCUCUCUUCCAUCUGGCACCUCACUCUCACGCCACUCCACCCUCAUUUUAUCACCUCACCCUUCCCUCUCUCACAAUGAAAAAAAAAGGAAAAUUAAUAAAAGAAAUCAUUCUUCUUCUUUCCAACAAAAAAAACCCUUACGAAUCCCUCUUCCAAAUCCAGCCGCCGCCUACCACCACACAAACCUUCAUUCACUCUCAAAACCCUCCAUCUUCACCUUCAUUCACCACCUUACAU
rnacentral:lncRNA from 1 species